rnacentral:misc_RNA from 1 species
GAUGAAGAACGUAGCGAAAUGCGAUAAGUAAUGUGAAUUGCAGAAUUCAGUGAAUCAUCGAGUCUUUGAACGCACAUUGCGCCCCCUGGUAUUCCGGGGGGCAUGCCUGUCCGAGCGUCAUUGCCGCCCUCAAGCACGGCUUGUGUGUUGGGCCCCCGCCCCCCGGCUUCGGGGGGCGGGCCCGAAAGGCAGCGGCGGCACCGCGUCCGGUCCUCGAGCGUAUGGGGCUUCGUCACCCGCUCUGUAGGCCCGGCCGGUGCCCGCCGGCGACCCCAAUCAAUCUUUCCAGGUUGACCUCGGAUCAGGUAGGGAUACCCGCUGAACUUAAGCAUAUCAAUAAGCGGAGGA